rnacentral:misc_RNA from 1 species
GAUGAAGAACGUAGCGAAAUGCGAUACUUGGUGUGAAUUGCAGAAUCCCGUGAACCAUCGAGUCUUUGAACGCAAGUUGCGCCCGAAGCCACUAGGCCGAGGGCACGCCUGCCUGGGCGUCACACGUCGUUGCCCCCCCCCCCAUCUACUCCUUCGGGAUUGCGGGGGGCGGAUGAUGGCCUCCCGUGCGCCUAGCCGCGCGGUUGGCAUAAAUACCAAGUCCUCGGCGACGCACGCCACGACAAUCGGUGGUUGCGAAACCUCGGUUGCCCGUCGUGUGCGUUCGUCGCGCAUCGAGGGCUCGAAAAAAUGCUCGGCUCCGGCUCGGCUUUCAACGCAACCCCAGGUCAGGCGGGGUUACCCGCUGAAUUUAAGCAUAUCAAUAAGCGGAGGA